rnacentral:lncRNA from 1 species
ACAAGCCAAAGGACAACAGAGAAAGGGAAAAAAGUGAAUGAGUGCUUUCACCAGAGGCCUCCAGGAAGGCUCAGCUCCAGGAGACAAAACCCAGGCAAACAAUCAGCUUAAAGGAAGCUUCCCUUGAGGCCUGGGGAGAGAUGCGUGGGGCUGAGAAAACUUUUCCAGGCUGUGGGAAGAGCUGCUGUGGACUCUGAACUUAUCCUUGCUCCUUCCUGAACACCAUUUCGAGAACAUCUCUGGUGCGGAUGUUAACCAGACGAACCGUACAAGCCAUGCACCUCCAAGUGGAGGUUCCUCUGGCUGUUCUGAAACUUCGGGGAACAGAAUGACUUUUUCAGGACUCUGGCUUUUCAGGGCUUAUUGGUAUGAAGAGACACCAGGACCAUGGCAACCCUUAUAAAGGAGAACAUGUAAUUGAGGCUGGCUUACAGUUUUUAGAAGUUUAGUCCAUGAUCAUCAUGGUGGGAACACAGCAGCAUGCAGGCAGACAUGGGGCUGGAACUGGAGCUG